AACGAACGCUGGCGGCAGGCUUAACACAUGCAAGUCGAACGAGAUCUUCGGAUCUAGUGGCAGACGGGUGAGGAACACGUGGGAACAUCCCUUUCAGUUCGGAAUAACGUUGGGAAACUAACGCUAAUACCGGAUACGUCCUUCGGGAGAAAGAUUUAUCGCUGAAAGAUUGGCCCGCGUCUGAUUAGGUAGUUGGUGAGGUAAUGGCUCACCAAGGCUACGAUCAGUAGCUGAUCUGAGAGGAUGAUCAGCCACAUUGGGACGGAGACACGGCCCAAACGACUACGGGAGGCAGCAGUGGGGAAUAUUUGACAAUGGGCGCAAGCCUGAUCCAGCCAUGCCGAGUGAGUGAUGAAGGCCUUCGGGUUGUAAAGCUCUUUUAUCCGGGAAGAUAAUGACUGUACCGGAAGAAUAAGCCCCGGCAAACUUCGUGCCAGCCGCCGCCGUAA
rnacentral:rRNA from 1 species